rnacentral:rRNA from 1 species
GACGAACCGUGCGAACGUUGUUCGGAAUCACUGGGCUUAAAGGGCGCGUAGGCGGGUUCGCAAGUCUGUGGUGAAAGCCUCCAGCUUAACUGGAGAAGUGCCGUGGAUACUGCGAAUCUUGAGGAGGGUAGGGGCGUCUGGAACGGUCGGUGGAGCGGUGAAAUGCGUUGAUAUCGACCGGAACUCCGGUGGCGAAGGCGAGGCGCUGGACCCUUUCUGACGCUGAUGAGCGAAAGCUAGGGGAGCAAACGGG